rnacentral:sRNA from 14 species
GCAAUAAUAAAGUAGCAAACGACAACAAUGAUUCUGUUGUUGCUGCUGA